rnacentral:lncRNA from 1 species
UUGAUCGGUGUUAGGAUUUCACGAAUUAUAAAAUGGAAUAAAAUGGUCCACACAAGUACUACGUUGUUCCUAAUAUGGAAAUAAUUCGACAAGCAUUCUUUUUUAGGGUACCUUCUUGGAUUCUGGUACAAAUUUCCAAAA